rnacentral:rRNA from 1 species
GUUUGAUCAUGGCUCAGAUUGAACGCUGGCGGCAGGCUAACACAUGCAAGUCGAGCGGUAGAGAGGUGCUUGCCCUNUNGAGAGCGGCGGACGGGUGAGUAAUGCCHMGGAAUCUGCCUGGUAGUGGGGGAUAACGUCCGGAAACGGMCNUAAUACCGCAUACGUCCUACGGGAGAAAGUGGGGGAUCUUCGGACCUCACGCUAUCAGAUGAGCCUAGGUCGGAUUAGCUAGUUGGUGGGGUAAAGGCUCACCAAGGCGACGAUCCGUAACUGGUCUGAGAGGAUGAUCAGUCACACUGGAACUGAGACACGGUCCAGACUCCUACGGGAGGCAGCAGUGGGGAAUAUUGGACAAUGGGCGAAACUGAUCCAGCCAUGCCGCGUGUGUGAAGAAGGUCUUCGGAUUGUAAAGCACUUUAAGUUGGGAGGAAGGGUUGUUACCUAAUACGUGACAAUUUUGACGUUACCGACAGAAUAAGCACGGCUAAACUCUGUGCCAGCAGCCGCGGUAAUACAGAGGGUGCCAGCGUUAAUCGGAAUUACUGGGCGUAAAGCGCGCGUANGUGGUUUGUUUAGGUGGAUGUGAAUCCCGGGCUCAACUGGGACUGCAUCCAAAACUGGCAGCUAGAGUAGGGCA